rnacentral:lncRNA from 1 species
GGCUCUCACUUUUGGAUUCAUUUUUCUCUCUCCCUCCGGCGCGGACUCAAAAACUCUCUCGGCUCUCUCUGCAAAAGGGGGGCCGAACGGUUUCUCUCUCAGGAAAUGGAGCUCUCUCUCUCUCUAUAUAACUGCUCGAUGGAGCUCCCAUGGUAGAUCUCAAAACCCUAGCCUCAGACAAUCCUGAGAGACAUCCACCAUUCCUCGCGAGAGAAUCUCCGCCUUGCUCGCCGUCCACCGAAGGGAGCUCCCACCUCCGUCUCUGUCUCCGGCAGUUCUCUAUCGAACUCCCGGCUUCGCUCCCGCUCGAUUCCUGAGAUCUCCGGACCGUCUCGAACCCUAGAAGACAAAGCAGAUGCCGAUCGAGUAGCUCGAAGCGCGAGACUCGGAUUCAUGCCGAGUGUAGAGCGGUAACGUUCGGUUCGGUUUCAUCCGUUCGUCAUCCACCACCGGGGUUUUCUCUCGGCUCUGUCUCUGGCUUGAUCAAGUUUUCUCUCUCUCUUAGAUCGUUCUCUCUGGCUCGAUCAUGAUCUGUAUGUGGAAAACCGCUAGGCUUUGGUGUUGGAAGUAGAUCAGGAUUUCUGUUGUAGAGCAGAACUAGUUGUGACUGGUUUUCAUGGUCAAAAUAUAAGAGUAACGUUGCUGCGAAUGUUAGUCAUGUGAGGGCAAAAGCUGAGGGUUUGAAUAAACAAGUAUGGGUCAUUAAUUCAAAAGUGGAGAUCAAGAACUUUAGAGUGAAAACAUCUUAUUGAGGAUGUACUAUUGAUUUGAUCUUGCUUGGAUGAUGUUGUGCUCACAUGAUUUUAAGUUGCUGAUUUGCCCUCGCGUUUUGGUCACUAAAAUGAGAUGUCUGUCAUAUGUUUGUGAAGAUGCCUGAAUGAAUAUCUGCGUAGUGUCUUCAUCAGUCCAUAUGCAAGAUAUUCAUAGCUUACUUAAAUCAUGAUGUCUAAAUUGAUUUCAUCUUGCUUACUAUCGAUAUAAUCAAUCUGAGCAAUUUUAGCAUUAUGGCAUGCUUAAAUCCGUGCUCAUUGGCCUCGUUGAUUGUGAGUAAUAUUCUUUUUCACUUUGAACCAGAUCGAGUCUUAGAAAAUAAUAAAUCUUUAUUCUGGUCUGGUUUUAUUCAAAUUUGAGAAGUUUUUCUAGAUCAAGCAGAGAUCAAUUGAUGGGUAAAACUGACGUUUGGAGUUUGCGGAUAUGAGCAGAAAUUUAGAAAUAAAAACAUGAUUUGUUACUUUUGUCGACCCUUUUAAGGUUGUAAGGUUUGCUAUGAUUCAUUUUUAGAACUACUAUUUGAGCAUUGUCUAGAUGGUUUUAUAAACCAUUAGUUAUGCAUUAUGUUCUAAUUCAUUUGUGGCUGAUUUGUAUGUCCUCAUGAUGAUCAUUUUUCGACUAUCAAUUUGACGUCAAUUGGACUCAACUUCUCUUAAGAAGUGGGCUUGUUUUAAUCUUUCCUAUGAUGCUGAUCUCGCAUGAUUUGCAAUGAGUUGAUGAUUAUUGAUGAUGAACUUGAAGUUGAUUGAACUUGAUUUGCCUUGAUCUGCAAAUUCGUAUACCGGAUAUAUCACUUUCUGUAUUGGCUGAAACGAGGUGUUAGAUAAGGUUUUUUUUACUUCAAGCCCUUCUAGACAUAUAAAAUACACUUCUAGAGCUUCAAUUUGAUAUGUUGCAUGCCCCUAAACGGACGUUGUUCAGUCAUCGAAAAACAUCUACAAAGUCUGUCAAUUCUACAGUAGUUUUUAGGUUGAUUUGCUGUUCUGCGAUUUUCUAUUUUAACUGGACUGAGCUGGUAUAUGAUGUUAUUAGGACUUAAUUUCUUCUAGAUAUUUGUAAUAGACUUCUCAAGCUUUCCAUAGACAUAUUAUAUGUGCAAUUUGGCCAUCAUUUGCCCUGCCUGAUGCUUCUUACAAAGAGCACUAAUCUGCUAAUGUGUUUUGCUUGUUAUGAUCUGAUCUGACCACUUAUUCAAAUGGCUUUGCUUGAGCUAGAAAAAGAUCUAAAUUGCAAUUGUCACCUAAUAGGAAUUCGUAAAGGACACUUGAGCUUUCUAACGAUGCCUAGUUUGUCCAAUUUGCCCAUCAUUUGCCCUACUUUUUUUUUUCUUUUAGAUCAAGUUUUGAAGUCUGUAUUUGUCUUGACCUGCAGUGUUGUCUUGUCUCUAUGAAUCUGACUGUCUACCAAUUUUGUGUGAUCUUAUACGUAAUGAUCUUGAGGAUAAAUUCUCAAUGAAAGCUGUCCAUAAUAUUCAUAUCCAUCCCAUGCUAAAAUUUGAGAAUUUUUAAGGUCAAGUAACCUUAGGAUUCAAGUUGACAUGUAGCAAUUUAAAUUGUUAUGCAUUUUGCUCCUAAUGACAAGUCACAUACCAAUGUUAAUGGAUUUGUGUGGCCUUUUGCACAUGGAUUUAGGGUUAAAUGUCUAAAUCAAACUUUUCUUCACAUUUAACCCUACGUCAUGUUCAAAUUUCAUGAUUUUCAUGCAUUGAUUAGGUGGCUUAACAAAUCAGUUAUCAUGCAUCAUUCUCUGAUUUGCUUAUGAUUGAUUUGCAUGCUUUAGCAAUUGUUGCUUUUCGGCCAUGAAUUUGACUUUAUUUGAACUUGAUACGCCUCAGGAAAUUCCAUUCAUGAAAGUUGCUCUUUAUAAAGUGCUUGAUUUCUGUGCUUUUUUCUUAGAGCCAAUCAUACAUGGGUUCUACCCCAAUUGCUUUGAUCUUAAAUGUGAUGAUUGUUUCUUUCACUUGUAUGCACCUAAUCAUAAAUUUCUUAGAUUAGGUUUAGAUUAGAACCCUGAAGAUGGAGAAGGCGUGAAGAUGGUGGAGGUCGAUGUCCAUUCUGACCAUUUUCAUGUAAUACCCAUUUUCCCGACAUAUGUCUCGGGCUCCAUUUGUUGUAUAAAACCAGAUGAGUUGCGGGUUUCUCUCUUUUUUUCCCAUAUAUUUCUCUUUUAUACUUUCUUUUAGGUUUGCAUGAUAGAUUUACUGCUUUUCUUGAUUGUUUACUUAAUGUCUUGC